AUUGAACGCUGGCGGCAUGCCUUGCACAUGCAAGUCGAACGGUAACAGGUUAAGCUGACGAGUGGCGAACGGGUGAGUAAUGUAUCGGAACGUGCCCAGUCGUGGGGGAUAACUGCUCGAAAGAGCAGCUAAUACCGCAUACGACCUGAGGGUGAAAGCGGGGGAUCGCAAGACCUCGCGCGAUUGGAGCGGCCGAUAUCAGAUUAGGUAGUUGGUGAGGUAAAGGCUCACCAAGCCUACGAUCUGUAGCUGGUCUGAGAGGACGACCAGCCAAACUGGGAAUGAGACACGGCCCGGACUCCUACGGGAGGCAGCAGUGGGGAAUUUUGGACAAUGGGCGCAAGCCUGAUCCAGCCAUGCCGCGUGCGGGAAGAAGGCCUUCGGGUUGUAAACCGCUUUUGUCAGGGAAGAAAAGGUUCUGGCUAAUACCUGGGACUCAUGACGGUACCUGAAGAAUAAGCACCGGCUAACUACGUGCCAGCAGCCGCCGUAACAC
rnacentral:rRNA from 1 species